CAGGAAGUGAAGCACUAAGUGAGUUCAGACUCCGACUGACAGACUGAGAGGAGAAGCAGACCAAUAGAAAGUCCGACAGCUUGUCGUCUGGUUUAACAUCAACCAGCAACAAGAGACAUGAAGCCAGAGGAACCAGUUCACCUCCAUCUCCAGACUCUCCUCCUCCUCCACUCCUCUGCUGCGUUCAGGAGCGUUGAAGGCAGUGCAGACAGGUCAAACUCAUCAGACACACAGGAGACACGUGAAGAAGGGGGGGCUAGAACAGAAGAACAGAUCACAGACAGCCUGAACCGACUCUCCACCUUUCUGCUGUUCUGGUGGAGAGGAAAGGUGGGGGCCCAGAGGAGGUCAGGUGACUGAAGAUGAGUGGUGUGGAUGAAGAGGAGGACGGACCAGAGUGUGUGGACAGGUGAGAGACGCCAGCUGCUCCUGCAGAGUCCACAGCAACAGCAAGGAGGAGACGAGAUGCAGCGCUGCUGUUUCUGUCUGCUCUCAGUGAGCUGCACUCAUUCUGAGCUUCAGUCAGAACCUCCUGACCUGUCAGUGACCAACACACCCUGCUGGGAGGCUCUGACCUUUGACCUCUGUCAUGGUCCGUCUCUUUACAACUGUGUUGAUGAUAAAAUUCAUCAGAGUGUGUGUGUGUGUGUGUGUGUGUGUGUGUGUGUGUGUGUGUGUGUGUGUGUGUGUGUGU